AAAGAAGAAGAAGGAGAGGAUAAUUAC
rnacentral:sRNA from 1 species